GGCAGGGGCGGGGCUGGACCUAGACCCAAACUGCAGGAUGUGAAUGCUCCCUGCCACACUCACCUGGUGUCCUGCAGUGAGGAGCUGCAGAGUCAAGAGCGGCUCCCCUUUUCUGAGCACCUACUCUGCACAAGAUGUUACAGGGCACUGCCGCUGCUUCCUGCAGACUCCUCAUAAAUAUUCACAGGUAGAAGCAUAGACAGUCAGUCAGAAAGCACUUCCUGGUGGGGUGCGGCUCAGGGCCACCCCUUGGAGAGGUGCUGGCAGUGGAGGCCGCGCCUUGCCUUCCCCUGGGUUACCUGGGCCCAGAGCCUCCUGUCUCCUGAAUUCCAUGUCAUGUGCAGCA